rnacentral:rRNA from 1 species
AGUUCGGAUUGUAGUCUGCAACCCGACUACAUGAAGCUGGAAUCGCUAGUAAUCGCGAAUCAGAAUGUCGCGGUGAAUACGUUCCCGGGUCUUGUACACACCGCCCGUCACACCAUGGGAGUCGGAAAUGCCCGAAGUCAGUGACCCAACCGUAAGGAGGGAGCUGCCGAAGGUGGAGCCGGUAACUGGGGUGAAGUCGUAACAAGGUACC